rnacentral:ribozyme from 1 species
GCUGUGACAAAGGGGGCCACAGAAGGAGCAUUAACAUUGUGGUCCCUGUCAGGCUUUUGCCUGUGAAUACUUCC